rnacentral:rRNA from 1 species
UGCGUAGGCGGUCCGCUAAGUUGGAUGUGAAAACUCUGGGCUUAACCCAGAGCCUGCAUUCAAAACUGACGGGCUAGAGUUCUGGAGGGGGUAGCGGAAUUCCUGGUGUAGCGGUGAAAUGCGUAGAUAUCAGGAGGAACACCGGUGGCGAAGGCGGCUACCUGGACAGAAACUGACGCUGAGGCACGAAAGCUAGGGGAGCAAACA